rfam:Klebsormidium nitens DNA, contig: KFL_1893.
GAAUUGGCCUUUCUCAAGGCCAUCAGAACAAAGAGAAACUAUCAAU